GAGCAUGUAGCUCAGUGGAUAGAGCACGUGGCUACGAACUACGGUGUCAGGGGUUCGAAUCCCUUCUUGCUCA
rnacentral:tRNA from 1 species